GAAGUUUUGGGAGGUGAGGGGUGUGUGUUCACUGUUUUGAUUGUGGUGAUGACUUCACAGGUAUAUACAUAUGUCAAAACUUACCAAAUUGCGCACUUUAAACAUGUACAAAUGUAUGUCGAUAAAGCUGUUUUUAAAACAGAGGCUGCCACGAGCAUAGAGGCAAAACAGUCGAUGCCUCCCAGUUUCAAGCUGGUUUGGUCAUCAUGGGAGAGCGUUGCUGUCCUCAUCUCACCCACACAGAACCUGGAACCCAGAGGGGUUAAGUGCUAGUCCGGGCAGAGCCCAUGGCCAGAUUCUUUCUUCUCAGGAUCCAGCGCUUUCUUUGCAAAGCACUGAGUGUGCUUCCAGGAGCCUCCCAGAACCUAUCGGCAUGCCCUGAGCUGAGGGACAUGGUGUCCCUGCCACCUGAAGGGCUGGGCCCCAGAAACACUUGGUUUCUGUCCCUGUGUUCCUCCCCCGCUGCAGGGCCCUCCACAGCAUUUGGAGUCAGAGCUGGCGUGGGAUCCUGGAAAAGCUGAAUGAACGCAGGCUUUGUGUGUGGACGGACCUGGGUAUGCAUCCUGGCACCAGCUGGGUCUCAGUGACCACCCCUGUGAAAUGGGGGUAACAACGGUCCCUUCCCCAUACGACCCUGCCAUGUAAGGUUCAGUCAACCCCACUUGCCCUCCCCUUGCUUGUCCUUCUACUUUAUGUUCUCCUGAGACUCUGCAAACCAGAGAAGGGACAAGCUGAGGCAGGAGGCCUUGAGCCUUGAGAGUGGAUGGGAGAAGGAGAAUGUGGAGAAAUGGGGCAGCUGUGUUUGCUGAGCACUUCCUGUAGCCCAGUACUAGACAGAGCACUUUACACGCUCUAUCCCCUUUAAUCCCCACAACAGCCCUGUGAAGUAUUCACUGUCCUCCCAGCUUCCCCAAGAAGAACACUGAAGCCUCCCAAGAGCAAGUCACUCAUCCAAGGUCACAGAAAGUAGACAGGGGCAAAUAUAGGCCUUGAACCCAGGCAGCCUGACUUCCAAGUCCCUGUCUUGUGGCUGAAAUUCCCCACCAGUUUUCUGGGGUCUUUGCAUUUCUGAGUCCCGACCCCACUAGUUGAGAUGCUUUCCCCAGCAGUGAUCCAAGUUCAGAUUCUCUCUGCAACUCCUUGUUACGCAAGCCACCCUAUGAUCCCUCACGUGUGCGGAGCACUCUACAGUUUACAAAGAACUCUUUCAUUACUACUUAUGCCAUGGGUGGUUCCGAAUCCCUUGAAACAAGAGAGGACUGUUGUUGUUAUCCCGGUGUCUACCAUGAAGAUGGUAUGGAUCCCUUCCUAGGGAGAAAUGGACAUUGACGCACACUGGACCAUUUUAUCUGCACAACAAGUAAACAGUAUUAGGCCCAGUUUACAGAUGUUAAAACUGAGGCCUGGAAGAAUUAAACAGCUUGCCUAAGUUCAUGAAGCUAGCGAGUGGCUGAGCCAGUAUUUCCUCCCAGAUUUGAUUGGCCCCAAAGCCCAUACUCUUCACCACUUAAUCCACUGCAAGAAGUAAUCACUGUCUGCCUUCCCCAGCCUCUCCCUAAGAAGGCUCUGAGGUCCUUAUCUGAAGGCUCAGUCCUGCCAUUUCCUGAGGCAAUCAGACAACAUUCAUGCAUUUGUUCACUUGUUCAACAAAUAGGAAUGAGCACUCGCUGUGUACCAACACUCAGACACUUGGUUUCUGAAUGCCCAUUAGCCACAGGCCCUGCUCUCGAAGAAUUCACUGGUGGACAGAGAUGAAUGAGGCGGUUCAUCUCGGGAUACAAAGUGUAGAGACCACACAUGUACCUUGGUUCUUUCUGUGCAGAGAAAAGCUAUCUAUUUUCAGUCUCAAUAUUUAGCAGUUUCCAUAGAUACCA
rnacentral:lncRNA from 1 species